CUAGUGUAGAGGUGAAAUUCGUAGAUAUUAGAAAGAAUACCAAUUGCGAAGGCAGCUUUCUGGAUCAUUACUGACACUGAGGAACGAAAGCAUGGGUAGCGAAGAGGAUUAGAUACCCUCGUAGUCCAUGCCGUAAACGAUGUGUGUUAGACGUUGGAAAUUUAUUUUCAGUGUCGCAGUGAAAACGAUAAACACACCGCCUGGGGAGUACGACCGCAAGGUUAAAACUCAAAUGAAUUGACGGGGACCCGCACAAGUAGUGGAGCAUGUGGUUUAAUUCGAAGAUACGCGCAGAACCUUACCAACACUUGACAUGUUCGUCGCGACUUUAAGAGAUUAAAGUUUUCGGUUCGGCCGGACGAAACACAGGUGCUGCAUGGCUGUCGUCAGCUCGUGUCGUGAGAUGUUGGGUUAAGUCCCGCAACGAGCGCAACCCUCACUUUUAGUUGCCAUCAUUUAGUUGGGCACUCUGAAAGAACUGCCAGUGAUAAGCUGGAGGAAGGUGGGGAUGACGUCAAGUCCUCAUGGCCCUUACGUGUUGGGCUACACACGUGCUACAAUGGUAUAUACAACAGGAAGCAAGACGGCGACGUUAAGCAAAUCCUCAAAAGAUACCUCAGUUCGGAUUGCACUCUGCAACUCGAGUGCAUGAAGCUGGAAUUACUAGUAAUCGUGGAUCAGCGUGCCACGGUGAAUGCGUUCCCGGGUCUUGUACACACCGCCCGUCACACCAUGGGAGUUGGUUCUACCUUAAGGCAAGGUUUAAAACCCUUGACCACGGUAUAGUCAGCGACUGGGGUGAAGUCGUAACAAGGU
rnacentral:rRNA from 1 species